rnacentral:lncRNA from 1 species
ACCCAGGUUGCACUCACUCCGUGUCCACAACAACCCUCCCCCCUUGACCUUAUUAGGUCUGUGCUAAUCCCAAGGUCAUGUUCAUGGCCUGAUAUGAGACGCUGGGUUCUUCUUAUAAGACAAGCCCGGUUCCAAAACCCAAAACCCACCAAGAACCAGCGUCCCUUUCAUUCCUUGCUUCUCAGUCUUUGGGGUCCUACAAAUAUUUCUCCAUCCUUAAGGCCCUGGCUGGUGUCACCACCCGGGGAACUGCAGGUGUAUUGGAUCCACUGUCUGACUGCCUUGCAACCCCUGCAUCUUCCUGAGGCCUCCAGUCUGAAGAAGCUCCAGAACAAUGACAAUCUCCACACCAUCCAGGCUGCCUUAGAGCCCAGCGAAUAUUCAAACAAGUCCUCGCAUAUGCAUGACCACAGCAGUGCUGUCGUGAAAAAUUACCAAGCCACAAUCACCAAAACAUGGAAACAGUCCAAGAGGAAAACAAUCUAAGAUCAACUCCAAAAUCAAGGGGAUGGGGGUGGAGGAAAUGAGUGGAUUAAUCAAAUGUGGCUCGGGAGUUCCCAUUGUGGCACAGUGGAAAUGAAUCCAACCAGGAACCAUGAGGAUGCAGGUUCGAUCCCAGUCCCUGCCCAUUGGGUUAAGGAUCCAGCGUUGCUGUGAGCUGUGGUGUAGGUUGCAGAUGUGGCUCGGAUCUGGCAUUGCUGUGGCUGUGGCAUAGGCCAGUAGCUACAGCUCCGUUUGGACCCCUAGCCUGGGAACCUCCAUAUGCCAUGGGUGCGGCCCUAAAAAUACAAUAGAUAAAUAAAUAAAUAAAAAUGUGUCUCA